rnacentral:piRNA from 1 species
UGUAAUGCUUAACGUAUCUCCAUGGUCUC